CCUACGGGAGGCUGCAGUGGGGAAUAUUGGGCAAUGGGCGCAAGCCUGACCCAGCAACGCCGCGUGAAGGAAGAAGGUUCUCGGGUUGUAAACUUCUUUUGUCAGGGACGAAGCAAGUGACGGUACCUGACGAAUAAGCCACGGCAAACUACGUGCCAGCAGCCGCGGUAAUACGGAGGUGGCAAGCGUUAUGCGGAUUCACUGGGUGUAAGGGGCGUGUAGGCGGGGAAGCAAGUCAGAUGUGAAAACCAGGGGCUCAACCUGUGGCCGGGCUUUGAACCUGUUUUUCGUGGGUGCUGGGGAGGCAAUCGGAAUUCCGUGUGUAGCGGUGAAAGGCGUGGUUAUGCGGAGGAACACGAGUGGCGAAGGCGGGUUGCUGGACAGUAACUGA
rnacentral:rRNA from 1 species